rnacentral:snoRNA from 1 species
AACCCAUGGUGAGGGCAUCUUCUCAGUAAGUCUUUGUAUCUCUCCCAUGCAUCGUAAAGAGUUUAUAAGUCUAUCUACACAAAUGAACAGAUAUCAUUACGAAAUUU